AGAGUUUGAUCCUGGCUCAGAGUGAACGCUAGCGGCGUGCUUAACACAUGCAAGUCUAACGGUUAUAGCAAUAUAACGGUGGCAAACGGGUGAGUAAUGAAUAGGAAUCUGCCUAGUAGAGGGGGAAAACGGUUGGAAACGACCGCUAAUACCGCAUACGCCGUUUAUGGGAAAGGAGUAAUCCGCUAUUAGAUGAGCCAAUUUCUGAUUAGCUAGUUGGUAAGGUAAUGGCUUACCAAGGCGAAGAUCAGUAGCCGAUCUGAGAGGAUGAUCGGCCACACUGGGACUGAGACACGGCCCAGACUCCUACGGGAGGCAGUAGUGGGGAAUAUUGGACAAUGGAGGAAACUCUGAUCCAGCAACGCCGCGUGAGUGAUGAAGGCCUUAGGGUUGUGAAGCUCUUCUGACAGGGAAGAUAAUGACUGUACCUGUAGAAUAAGCACCGGCUAACUUCGUGCCAGCAGCCGCGGUAAUACGAAGGGUGCUAGCGUUACUCGGAAUUAUUGGGCGUAAAGAAUGCGUAGGCGGACUUGCAAGUUAGAAGUGAAAUCCCUGGGCUCAACCUAGGAACUGCUUUUAAAACUGCUUGUCUAGAAUUUGACAAUGAGUAGGGGAAUUCCUGGUGUAGGGGUAAAAUCCGUAGAUAUCAGGAGGGAGACCGGAAGCGAAGGCGCUUACUUAGGUCAAUAUUGACGCUGAUGCAUGAAAGCGUGGGGAGCAAACAGGAUUAGAUACCCUGGUAGUCCACGCCGUAAACUAUGAGUACUAUUUGUGGGGAGGUAUAUCCUUUCUGCAAAAAAAGCUAACGCGUUAAGUACUCCGCCUGGGUAGUACGAUCGCAAGAUUAAAACUCAAAGGAAUUGACGGGGACCCGCACAAGCGGUGGAGCAUGUGGUUUAAUUCGAUGCUAACCGAAGAACCUUACCAGCCUUUGACAUGUAUAUUGUGAGUUCAUGAAAAUGGCUCUUCAUUUAGUUGGGUAUACACAGGUGUUGCGUGGCUGUCGUCAGCUCGUGUUGUGGAAUGUUGGGUUAAGUCCCUUAACGAGCGCAACCCUCACCACCUUUUGCCAGCGAGUAAUGUCGGGAACUAUGGUGGAACUGCCGUUGAAAGACGGAGGAAGGGGAGGAUGAGGUCAAGUCAUCAUGGCCUUUAUAGGCUGGGCUACAUACGUGCUACAAUGGGUAAUACAAAAUGUUGCAAUAUAGUGAUAUGGAGCUAAUCAUUAAAGUUACUCCCAGUUCGGAUUGAAGAUUGCAACUCAUCUUCAUGAAGUUGGAAUCGCUAGUAAUCGUGGAUCAGAAUGUCACGGUGAAUACGUUCUCGGGUCUUGUACACACUGCCCGUCAAGCCACGAAAGUCAGCCACACCUUAAGAAGGUAAACUAACCGCAAGGAGGUAGCUUUCCAAGGUGAUGUUGGCGAUUGGGGUUAAGUCGUAACAAGGUA
rnacentral:rRNA from 1 species